AGGCAUUCCCAGCUCCCACUUCCAUUCCUGGCGUACAGUAGGCGCUAGAUAAAUCCUUCCAGCCUUGUUAACUCAUGUUGGUAGCGGCGAUCCCUUGGCUAACUGAAACUCCGUGCCCUCUUUGACUGGGGGUGAAGCAAAUGGCUUCCGGGAAUUAACUGGAUGCUUUCCAGUUUAUAGUGUUAAGGC
rnacentral:lncRNA from 1 species